AGUAGAAUUACUGGGUCAUAUGGUAAGUCUAUGUUUAACUUGUUGAGGAGCUGCCAAACUGUUUUCCAUAAUGGCUACACCAUUUUAACAAUCUUACCAGUAAU
rnacentral:pre_miRNA from 1 species